rnacentral:misc_RNA from 1 species
GUGAAUCAUCGAAUCUUUGAACGCAAAUUGCACUCUCCGGUUUUCCGGGAGAGUAUGCCUGUUAGAGGGUCAGCCUAAAAAAAAUCGACAUUGUUGCUGUUAUUUAAUGGUGACUUUCGUCGGAGAUUGGGUUAUCUUAAACCUUUUUUUUUUUUUUUGUUUUAAGGUCCUUAAAUUUUUUUUUCACGUUUCCAUAACGUUUUUUA